ensembl:snRNA U7 U7 small nuclear RNA
AAAAGAAACUUUUAGAAUUUGUCUAGCAGGUCUUCCGGUUUCUACCGGAAAGCCCCC